rnacentral:rRNA from 1 species
UGCAAGUCGAGCGGUAAGGCCCUUCGGGGUACACGAGCGGCGAACGGGUGAGUAACACGUGGGUGAUCUGCCCUGCACUUCGGGAUAAGCCUGGGAAACUGGGUCUAAUACCGGAUAUGACCUUCGGCUGCAUGGCUGAGGGUGGAAAGGUUUACUGGUGCAGGAUGGGCCCGCGGCCUAUCAGCUUGUUGGUGGGGUAAUGGCCUACCAAGGCGACGACGGGUAGCCGACCUGAGAGGGUGACCGGCCACACUGGGACUGAGACACGGCCCAGACUCCUACGGGAGGCAGCAGUGGGGAAUAUUGCACAAUGGGCGAAAGCCUGAUGCAGCGACGCCGCGUGAGGGAUGACGGCCUUCGGGUUGUAAACCUCUUUCAGCAGGGACGAAGCGAAAGUGACGGUACCUGCAGAAGAAGCACCGGCCAACUACGUGCCAGCAGCCGCGGUAAUACGUAGGGUGCAAGCGUUGUCCGGAAUUACUGGGCGUAAAGAGCUCGUAGGCGGUUUGUCGCGUCGUCUGUGAAAACUCGAGGCUCAACCUCGAGCUUGCAGGCGAUACGGGCAGACUUGAGUACUGCAGGGGAGACUGGAAUUCCUGGUGUAGCGGUGAAAUGCGCAGAUAUCAGGAGGAACACCGGUGGCGAAGGCGGGUCUCUGGGCAGUAACUGACGCUGAGGAGCGAAAGCGUGGGUAGCGAACAGGAUUAGAUACCCUGGUAGUCCACGCCGUAAACGGUGGGCGCUAGGUGUGGGUUUCCUUCCACGGGAUCCGUGCCGUAGCUAACGCAUUAAGCGCCCC